GCACUCUUUCUUCAUCAAAGCCAUCAGUUCCAGCUUCACGUCAAGUACCAACACGGCCCUCUACUCCAACUAAAACCCGUCCAUGUACUCCAGUGAAACCUCGGCCAUCUACUCCAGUCAAACCUCGGCCAUCUACUCCAAAUAAAACUCGGCCUUCUACUCCAGUCAAAACUAGAUCUUCUGUACCCAACACUAUGUCCACCUCAACUAUUGCCAAAACAAC
rnacentral:lncRNA from 1 species